GCAUUGGUUGUUCAGUGAUAGAAUUCUCAGCUCCAUGCAGGAGACCUGGGUUCAAUUCCUGGCCAAUGCA
rnacentral:tRNA from 1 species